rnacentral:rRNA from 1 species
UAGGGAAUCUUCGGCAAUGGGGGGAACCCUGACCGAGCAACGCCGCGUGAGUGAAGAAGGUUUUCGGAUCGUAAAGCUCUGUUGUUAAGGAAGAACGAGUGUGAGAAUGGAAAGUUCAUACUGUGACGGUACUUAACCAGAAAGGGACGGCUAACUACGUGCCAGCAGCCGCGGUAAUACGUAGGUCCCGAGCGUUGUCCGGAUUUAUUGGGCGUAAAGCGAGCGCAGGCGGUUAGAUAAGUCUGAAGUUAAAGGCAGUGGCUCAACCAUUGUAGGCUUUGGAAACUGUUUAACUUGAGUGCAGAAGGGGAGGGUGGAAUUCCAUGUGUAACGGUGAAAUGCGUAGAUAUAUGGAGGAACACCGGUGGCGAAAGCGGCUCUCUGGUCUGUAACUGACGCUGAGGCUCGAAAGCGUGGGGAGCGAACAGG